rnacentral:rRNA from 1 species
UACGUAGGGCGCAAGCGUUGUCCGGAAUUAUUGGGCGUAAAGAGCUCGUAGGCGGCCUGUUGCGUCCGCUGUGAAAUCCCGGGGCUCAACCCCCGGGCGUGCAGUGGAUACGGGCUGGCUGGAGGCAGGCAGGGGAGAACGGAAUUCCUGGUGUAGCGGUGAAAUGCGCAGAUAUCAGGAGGAACACCGGUGGCGAAGGCGGUUCUCUGGGCCUGUACUGACGCUGAGGAGCGAAAGCGUGGGGAGCGAACAGG